rnacentral:lncRNA from 1 species
GGCUGCGCAGCCUCCGGACGCGCCCUUCCUGGAGGGCUCGGCUCCUGCGCGCCAAAACUUUCCGGAGGGGACGACCCCGGUGCACCCGACUUCUGGAGAGGUCGGAUCUGGGCACCACCUCCUUCUGAAGAGGAAUCCUUGACCGUUUGACCCUCAGGACCAGAGCUGAAGUUCAGACAGCGGUCGUGGAUUUCGUUCAUCCGACUUUAGUGAAGAGAUUUUGUGGCUCUGCGUGCUCCUGUGGGGUGCAUAGUUCAAGUCCCUUAAACACAUGCUGCUACUUACCUGCCACCCCAGGCGGAGGCUUUUCAAAGAGGCUUUUCACUGAUUCCCAGUCAGCCCGUACAGUGGAGUGGUUUAGAGGCGAGACGCUGGGCUCACCUCCACCGCUUCCCAUCCUGACCUGUGGCCUGGGCAGGCUCUUCUGAGGACUUGUAAAGUGAGACUGCAGCGGCUCCAAGCCCUAUGGCGAGGAUCAAGUGAAGGAACACACGCAGGGCACUCAGGCCAGGGUCCCUCGUGGGGAGAGCUUAGUAGUAAAUCCUGAAUGUCGCCAUGUGGGCCCAAAGUCCCCCACCACGCAUAUUCUCUACACUGUGUUUGAAAACUCAAAAAACUGGAGAGGAACCAAACAGGAGUUAAAAUGACCGUUACCAGUGAGGGCAGACAGGUGUGGACCUGCCCCGGAGAACAGCCCGAAGAGCUGCAGGAGGAAUCCGAAAAUUCCGCUUGAAAGCACAGGAGAACUGUCAGGUUCCAGGGGAGGAGAGAGCUGCGGAAAGACGGUCUGUUGUCUGGGGCAGAUGUGACCCUGGGGGCAUCUGUACUUUCUGAAAGUAGUGUCUCAGUGGCCGGGAAACUGAGCAAGUUUUCAACAGCGUCUGGAGGCUGGGAAGCAAAAACUCGAGUCAGAUUUUGAAAG